rnacentral:rRNA from 1 species
GGGGGAAGCUGCUUCCCUGCGGCGAGCGGCGGACGGGUAGUAAUGUCUGGGGAUCUGCCCGAUGGAGGGGGAUAACACUGGAAACGGUGGCUAAUACCGCAUAACCUCUUUGGAGUAAAGUGGGGGACCUUCGGGCCUCACGCCAUCGGAUGAACCCAGAUGGGAUUAGCUAGUAGGUGGGGUAAUGGCUCACCUAGGCGACGAUCCCUAGCUGGUCUGAGAGGAUGACCAGCCACACUGGGACUGAGACACGGCCCAGACUCCUACGGGAGGCAGCAGUGGGGAAUAUUGCACAAUGGGCGCAAGCCUGAUGCAGCCAUGCCGCGUGUAUGAAGAAGGCCUUCGGGUUGUAAAGUACUUUCAGCGGGGAGGAGGCAACAGCGUGAAUAGCGCUGUUAUUGACGUUACCCGCAGAAGAAGCACCGGCUAACUCCGUGCCAGCAGCCGCGGAAUACGAAUCACUAGUGAAUUCGCGGCCGCCUG